rnacentral:misc_RNA from 1 species
AUCAUUAUGGUCGAAACUGAGUUUGAACAGAAUAUUUUUUGUGAAAUGACAUCAAUAUAUAUGUAUGGUUAAGAAGAAAAUCCAUGGACACGUACGUGUACAUAACAAUUUCAGCUUUCAACAAUUCUUUGAAGGAUCUUUUUAGCCUGAGCAAGGCUGUCCAUGUGACCAACUUCCGAAACCCAUAUAUUCUGCAUGGGAAGCAUCACCAUAUCCAGCUCAGUCAAAUGAGUCUCCAGCUGCCUGAUAGCGUCUGAAUUCAUCAAACUGCCAACAACCGUCACAAGGGUGUUGCAGCAAGCUUUGAGGAUGAGGGACUGAAAGAAAUCUCGAUCCAAACUACUUAUUAUCUUCUCAGACUGGGACGAAAAAACAAGAUCUUGACAUGUUGAAUCAAACGUGGAGGCAUGGUUUCUCACUGUGACCGUGCCAUGCCGCUUCAUUAUACUCCUUAAACUGCUACAUGCUUGCUUUUUCCUGGUCUUCCUUGACUUCUUGCAUGUUUCAGCAUAGGCUUCACCUCUAAGUUCUUCAUCAUAUAACCCCAGAAAA